rnacentral:rRNA from 1 species
GACGAACGCUGGCGGCGUGCUUAACACAUGCAAGUCGAACGGAAAGGCCCUGCUUUUGUGGGGUGCUCGAGUGGCGAACGGGUGAGUAACACGUGAGUAACCUGCCCUUGACUUUGAGAUAACUUCAGGAAACUGGGGCUAAUACCGGAUAGGAGCUCCUGCUGCACGGUGGGGGUUGGAAAGUUUCGGCGGUUGGGGAUGGACUCGCGGCUUAUCAGCUUGUUGGUGGGGUUGUGGCUUACCAAGGCUUUGACGGGUAGCCGGCCUGAGAGGGUGACCGGCCACAUUGGGACUGAGAUACGGCCCAGACUCCUACGGGAGGCAGCAGUGGGGAAUAUUGCACAAUGGGCGGAAGCCUGAUGCAGCAACGCCGCGUGCGGGAUGACGGCCUUCGGGUUGUAAACCGCUUUCGCCUGUGACGAAGCGUGAGUGACGGUAAUGGGUAAAGAAGCACCGGCUAACUACGUG